UCAAACUUGGUCAUUUAGAGGAAGUAAAAGUCGUAACAAGGUUUCCGUAGGUGAACCUGCGGAAGGAUCAUUACCGAGUUAGGGUCUGCUCCGUGCGGCCCGACCUCCCAACCCUGUGUCUACUGUACCUUGUCGUUGCUUCGGCGGACCGGUUGACCAACUGGUCUUGACCGCCGGGGGUUACCCCCCCCUGGAGAGCGUCCGCCGACGGCCUCAACACAACUUCUUGUACCGAAACUUGUCGUCUGAAUAUAGUACUUGAUACCAAUCAAAAACAAAACUUUCAACAACGGAUCUCUUGGUUCUGGCAUCGAUGAAGAACGCAGC
rnacentral:misc_RNA from 1 species